CCAAAGCUCCGAUUUUUGACGAGCGCAUCUAUUAGAUUAAAACCAAUCGGAUUUCGGUCCGUCAUUUGGUGACUCUGAAUAGCUAUGGCUGAUCGCAUGGUCUUGUACCGGCGACGUAUCUAUCAAGUGUCUGCCUUAUCAACUUUCGAUGGUAGUUUAUGUGCCUACCAUGGUUGUAACGGGUAACGGAGAAUAAGGGUUCGACUCCGGAGAGGGAGCCUGAGAAACGGCUACCACAUCCAAGGAAGGCAGCAGGCGCGCAAAUUACCCACUCUCGGCAUGAGGAGGUAGUGACGAAAAAUAACGAGACCGUUCUCUAUGAGGCCGGUUAUCGGAAUGGGUACAAUUUAAACCCGUUAACGAGGAUCUAUGAGAGGGCAAGUCUGGUGCCAGCAGCCGCGGUAAUUCCAGCUCUCAAAGUGUAUAUCGUCAUUGCUGCGGUUAAAAAGCUCGUAGUUGGAUCUGCGCCUCAGGACUCGGUCCGCCCACUGGGUGAGAACUGGGCUCCUAGGCUAAUACUGCUGGUUUUCCCUAUGUUGCCUUCACCGGUCGCGUAGGGUGGCUAGCGAGUUUACUUUGAAAAAAUUAGAGUGCUUCACGCGGGCUAUUGUCUGAAUACUCGUGCAUGGAAUAAUAGAAUAGGAUCUCGGUUCUAUUUUGUUGGUUUUCUGAUCUGAGAUAAUGGUUAAGAGGGACGGACGGGGGCAUUCGUAUCGCUGCGUGAGAGGUGAAAUUCUUGGACCGUAGCGAGACGUCCGACUGCGAAAGCAUUUGCCAAGAAUGUCUUCAUUAAUCAAGAACGAAAGUCAGAGGUUCGAAAGCGAUCAGA
rnacentral:rRNA from 1 species